GUGGUAAUUCUAGAGCUAAUACAUGCUAAAAACCCCGACUUCGGAAGGGGUGUAUUUAUUAGAUUAAAAACCAAUGCCCUUCGGGGCUCUCUGGUGAUUCAUAAUAACUUCUCGAAUCGCACGGCCUUGCGCCGGCGAUGGUUCAUUCAAAUUUCUGCCCUAUCAACUUUCGACGGCUGGGUCUUGGCCAGCCAUGGUGACAACGGGUAACGGAGGGUUAGGGCUCGACCCCGGAGAAGGAGCCUGAGAAACGGCUACUACAUCCAAGGAAGGCAGCAGGCGCGCAAAUUACCCAAUCCCGACUCGGGGAGGUAGUGACAAUAAAUACUGAUACAGGGCUCUUUUGGGUCUUGUAAUUGGAAUGAGUACAAUUUAAAUCCCUUAACGAGGAACAAUUGGAGGGCAAGUCUGGUGCCAGCAGCCGCGGUAAUUCCAGCUCCAAUAGCGUAUAUUAAAGUUGUUGCAGUUAAAAAGCUCGUAGUUGAACCUUGGGCCUGGCUGGCCGGUCCGCCUCACCGCGUGCACUGGUCCGGCCGGGCCUUUCCCUCUGGGGAACCGCAUGCCCUUCACUGGGUGUGUCGGGGAACCAGGACUUUUACUUUGAACAAAUUAGAUCGCUUAAAGAAGGCCUAUGCUCGAAUAUAUUAGCAUGGAAUAAUAGAAUAGGA
rnacentral:rRNA from 1 species